UACGGAGGGGGGCUAGCGUUGUUCGGAAUUACUGGGCGUAAAGCGCGCGUAGGCGGACCUGCAAGUCGGGGGUGAAAGCCCGAGGCUCAACCUCGGAACUGCCUUCGAUACUGCGGGUCUCGAGUCCGGGAGAGGUGAGUGGAAUUCCUAGUGUAGAGGUGAAAUUCGUAGAUAUUAGGAAGAACACCAGUGGCGAAGGCGGCUCACUGGCCCGGUACUGACGCUGAGGCGCGAAAGCGUGGGGAGCGAACAGG
rnacentral:rRNA from 1 species